rnacentral:rRNA from 1 species
CGAGAAGACCCUGUGGAGCUUUAGACACUAAGGCAUAUUGUGUCAAAUAACCCUAAACAAAGGACUGAACUGAACAAACCAUGCCCCUCUGUCUUAGGUUGGGGCGACCCAGG